GCCAUAUUAUGUUGAAACAUUGGUUCCUAUACAAUCACCUAGUUAAGCAAAUUUGGGCCUGGUCAGUACCUAGAUAGGUGACCGCUUGGGAAUACCUGGUGCUGUAAG